rnacentral:rRNA from 1 species
UACAGAGGGUGCGAGCGUUAAUCGGAAUUACUGGGCGUAAAGCGCACGUAGGCGGCUUGGUAUGUCGGGUGUGAAAUCCCCGGGCUCAACCUGGGAACUGCAUCCGAAACUGCCUUGCUAGAGUAUGGGAGAGGGAAGUGGAAUUUCCGGUGUAGCGGUGAAAUGCGUAGAUAUCGGAAGGAACAUCAGUGGCGAAGGCGACUUCCUGGACCAUAACUGACGCUGAGGCGCGAAAGCGUGGGGAGCAAACAGG